AUUGAACGCUGGCGGCAGGCCUAACACAUGCAAGUCGAGCGGAUGAAGGGAGCUUGCUCCUGGAUUCAGUGGCGGACGGGCGAGUAAUGCCUAGGAAUCUGCCUGGUCGUGGGGGAUAACGUCCGGAAACGGGCCCUAAGACCGCAUCCGUCCAGAGGGAGAAAGUGAGGGAUCUUCGGACCUAGCGCGUCCAGAUGACCCUAGGUCGCAUUAGCUAGUUGGUGAGGUAAAGGCCUACCAAGGCGACGAUCCGUAACUGGUCUGAGAGGAUGAUCAGUCACACUGGAACUGAGACACGGUCCAGACUCCUACGGGAGGCAGCAGUGGGGAAUAUUGGACAAUGGGCGAAAGCCUGAUCCAGCCAUGCCGCGUGUGUGAAGAAGGUCUUCGGAUUGUAAAGCACUUUAAGUUGGGAGGAAGGGCAGUAAGUGAAUACCUUGCUGUUUUGACGUUACCAACAGAGUAAGCACCGGCUAACUUCGUG
rnacentral:rRNA from 1 species